UCCCCGUUAUCCUGGGCUUUCACCCUUCUACUACCUGCAUGUCCAGCCUGGGUAAGGUUCUUCGCGUUGCGUCGAAUUAAACCACAUGCUCCACCGCUUGUGCGGGCCCCCGUCAAUUCCUUUGAGUUUCAACCUUGCGGCCGUACUUCCCAGGCGGAAUACUUAAUGCGUUAGCUGCGGCACCGGCGGUAACCCGCCGACACUUAGUAUUCAUAGUUUAAGGCGUGGACUAC
rnacentral:misc_RNA from 1 species